GUGAGGAAUUUUCCGCAAUGGGCGAAAGCCUGACGGAGCAAUGCCGCGUGAAGGAUGAAGGCCUAUGGGUUGUAAACUUCUUUUCUCAGAAAAGAAUUAUGACGGUAUCUGAGGAAUAAGCAUCGGCUAACUCUGUGCCAGCAGCCGCGGUAAGACAGAGGAUGCAAGCGUUAUCCGGAAUGAUUGGGCGUAAAGCGUCUGUAGGUUGUUUAAAAAGUAUUCUGUCAAAGAUUAGGGCUUAACCCUAGAUAGGCAGAAUAAGCUUUUAAGCUAGAGUUUGGUAGAGGCAGAGGGAAUUCCCGGUGGAGCGGUGAAAUGCGUAGAUAUCGGGAGGAACACCAAAGGCGAAGGCACUCUGCUGGGCCAAUACUAACACUGAGAGACGAAAGCGAGGGGAGCAAAUGGGAUUAGAUACCCGAGUAGUCC
rnacentral:rRNA from 1 species